CAUGUUAGACCACUAGGUGGCGCUUCGCAUUUAUAGUAGUAUGGAAUUUUCGCGAACACAGGAAGAAUAAAUCCUGCUGCCGAGAUGAUAACGCCAGCAAAACGUGUAUCUCCUUUAUUCUUACCACAGGUAUAAAAGGACCCAGAGGCCAGGUCUUCUUCACCUGUGAGGCUGCUGUAUGAGUUGUGUUCCUUUAUGGCGGACGUCAACAUUGUCUCAUUUCCCCAUGGUCUACACCGGGUUGACCACAUUGCUGCCCUUAUUACCACCAAAGUAACCCCCAAUUAAUAAGGGAGGCUGAAAGGAGCCAGCAGGUUCAAACAUCGCUCCUCAUCUUCAAACGUCCUGCGUUCAUCUCAGCUGCUGCCAGUGCCUCUGACAUUGUUCCGACCCUUGUUCUGAAAGCAGAGAGCUACCACAGAACACGAAUGUCCUUGUCCUCAAAGACACCCUCUGACUAGGACACCUCAGAAACAGGAUGUGCAUGAUGUGAUUGGGCUGCAGCUGACAGAACGUUCUCUUUGUGCGUCCCUGGUGCAUGGCUGAUUAAUUGAUUGAUCUGCUGUGCACGUGGAGAACACAGGAAGUCAUCACUCGGCCAGUGAAGGAACCGAGUCGUGCAGGUUGUUGUCUGGACUCACAGCUGAGAGAUCACAGCAGCAAGACUCCGUCCUCCUCAGUCCUCCUCAGUCCGGCCUCUUCAACUCCGUGAGCAUUCGGCCCUUUUUACUCCAGAAGAUGGAAAACGUGGAGCCUCUAAUCUGCCUCUGUCAUCUCCAUCUCUGACGACUGCUGGUGCGAGCGUCGUCACAGCAGCCAGACGUGACCCUCAUCCCGCUGCUCACUGAGAGCUUGAUUUCAUGGUGAAGAACGGACGCGCCGACACCUGCGUUUUCAGCUGGAGCUGGAGCUGCUGUCUUCCUUGUGUUUUUUCCUUGGAUGGAGAAAAUAUUUUUUCCGUGAAGUUAACCCUUACCCGUUGCGGUAUUAUUUUCUUAUUCACCUAAAACAAGAUAUGAUGUAAACCAAAGUUACAUCAGAUCAUACAGAUAUUUCUACUGUUGCCAGAAGGAAAUAAAGAUACAAAAAAAUACAACCUUAGCUUGGACGUAGUCUUAAGAACCUGAGACGGCUGACUUAAGGGAGUACACCAAAGAGUUGGUUAAAAUAAAAAGUCCAUAUAUUUGGAGAUGCUCAUUGUUUGUGUAUUCUAUUUAAAACUAAGAAAUAUUUCAGAGCAUCACAAUAGUUUGCAAAAAAAGAUAGAGAUUUCUGACACAGCUUUUCUCCGUCAGCAGCUUCACUGAUACUCUGUCCCUUGGCUGGUUCUCAUUUCUGUACUUUCUGUAGAGUUUGCAGAACAAAUUCCAAAUAUCCCUGUUACAUCCUCUAGCUGGUGCUGAAAGGUCACGGCUGGUGAAAAAGCAUAAGCGCUGGAUGUGUUUUGAUGUUCAGUGUUACCUAUUCCCGCUCCGUAACCCCCUUGAGCCCCUCUGAUCUACUCCUGGGCUCAUUAAAACACCCUCUCCACCUCCACAUUAGCAUCAGAGUCAUGGUCAGACUGCUUUGUGUUAUAAGGGUGAAAAACAAUAUCAAUAACAACAACAAAAACAAUGGUAGCCUUUGGUCCAGGUCUUUGAUAAUGUACAUCAAAGAGAGAGAGACACUGAAGAGAGCUGUGUUUUCACUGUACACAUGCCAAGGUCCUCUCUGAUCCUGGUCAUGUGGUGUUAGCGCUCGGGUCUGAUGAUGUAAGUCGAGGUGCUGGGUCUGCACCGUGUGUCCCCAAGGACGAAAAUUUAAAUUUUGAACCCAAAAAAACCCCUGACAUUGGUAAAAAUGUUGACAUCGAUCUUUUAUGUGUGAGGCUGUGACUGGAGGUUCAACUCCAGGUCCACAGAGGGUUGAAACAACAGAAAGGUUGAGAAAAUUGGUUCAGUAAAGAGUGAUCGGAGAUGGAAAGACUCAGGACUCCAGAGCUACAGAUGUUACAUUUUUGACUCUUUUGACAGGAUUUUGUGGUUUAAAUUUCUAGUUGUGUGUCUUGACCUGUAGGAAAUAAAAUAAAUUGUUAUCCUAUUUAGAGGAAAUGAUUGAUAUUUAGCUUAUCACCUUGUCAUUUUCUUGUAUUCCUGACUGUGGAUCCUGUGAGUGUUGCAGGAGAAGUUUAAGGUAAAUGACAGAAUGGGUUUGAUUAGCAAUUCAACAACUUGUUCUUUUGUUUUCUGCUUGGUGCUGUUCAUUUGUUUGAACUUUUCAGUAACAACACAUCCCUAUACUGUGAAGGUGUAAUUAAGACAUCUGUGGGCUGCCAUUCAUUAAACACUUCAAGAGGAAAUUUCAAUUGCCAAAUUUUUCAAGAAGUGAAACUAAAAAUAUUUGUUUUCUCCCCCCGGGAUGGCAUGGUGGAGUUCUGGGGUUUGUAGCUCAUGAAGUGUGCAAUGUGGAUGUGAAACUCCGCUCACUGUGCAGUGAAUAAGCGUUAGCUCCAGAGCUGCAUGUCACCAUUAACCUGCUGUGUUUAAAGGUACUGCCUGUAUUUAUUUAAUUAGACGCCACUGCGAGGCAGCUUUGAUUGACGUGUGGGCUGAUGCAGGCAGUCCUGCCUGCUGCCGAAAACCUUCACAGCGUCACAGUGACAUGUUCAGGAGUGUUCUUUUGUCACGCCGCUCUCAAAUUGCUCAUUAUAAAUUCUGCCACUUCUUCUCCUUAUCACCCUGCUGAAUAAUCACAGCUUUGUAUUUUUAACUUGUGCACAAACACUGUGUGCCUCAUCAUGGGCCGAUAAUGAAUAAAAGAGAAAAAGAAAAAGAGGCAAACCGUCGAUGUACAGUCGUUAUCUCCACCUAGAUAGAAAAUGUACACGUUCAAAGUCCGGCCCCCAGCUGCUGGUAUUUCCUCUGGAUGGGUUUCACGUGGUUAAAUGGGAUGUUUGUGCUUUGGCAUUGGACAGUUGUGCUUUUUAUACAGGAAAAUGACAAAAAAAGUCAAUGGAUUUCAG